AGCUCCUCAAAUCCCAACCUUUGUUUGUCAUGCCCCAUGACUGUUGAGAAUGGCGCCACAUGUCAUGCCACAUGUCAUGGGGCCGUGCUCUCAAUCGGGCUGCCCAUGUUUCUGUCCCCACCUCCCCUCUCUGUCCUGUCUUUGAGGUCAGUUCUUGACUUCCUUGAUGCCAAAAGUGAUAGGUACUUUGCCGUCCUUCAUUUUUGUUGCCUCUUUAUUUUACACGGUUGAACUUCCGUGAUGCUGUGUGGUUGGAAUGUUCAUCCCUCCCUCAGAGCUCAUGUAUUGGAAAUGGAACCCCCAGAUCAUAUGUCAAUGGUAUUUAGAGGUGGGGCUUUGGGUAGGUAAUUAGGAUUAGAUGAGGUCAUGGAGGUGGGGCUGUGGUGGCGUGGACAAAGAGGAAGAGAGGCCCGAGUUACAGUUCCUGUCCUGUCUGUCACCAUGGAAUACUUCUGCCAGGUUCUGAUGCAGUAAAAAGCCCUUCCCCAGAUGUUGGCAGAUGCCAGAGCCAUGACUUUGGACUUCUAAGCCUCCAGCCAUGAAACCGAUAAACUUCUGGUCUUUACAAAUUACCCACUGUCUGGCAUUUUGCUGUAACACCAGAAAGCGAGGUGACACACAUUUCUAUGACAUCACAGCCUCAUUUGCUCUUGUCCUUAAGUGCUGGCACUGCGUGUUCUGUACCUGUCGCCUACCCUCAUUCCCUACCUCGAUGACCACCACAUGGGUAUUCCAUGAUGAUCUGUUCUUGACCCUCUUCUGUCUUUCUUCCUCUCCCUGCAGUGCGCUCAUGGUCUCUCAUGACUGUCACCAGCCUAAACCUUGAUUUGAUUCCAGACCCAUGUGUAACUGACUUGCUGCUUGCUUUCUCUAACUGUCCAGGCGGUCGCACAGACUCAGCCAGUGCAAAGGGAAACUCAGUCUGCCUGUAAACAGCAGAGUGCUGUUCUGUCCAAGGUGUCAAGGACUCGGGUGACUCCCCCGGGUUAUCACCAUGCUGCUGGGCAUCCAGUUUACUUGGGAUCCUGUACACCCCAUGUCCUGGUGUCUGUCACUCCUACAGUUCAGACCACUAUUUUCUCAACAGCCUGUCUUCUGUCAUCUUCUUCAGUUCCCCGAAUCUUUUUUCUAUACAGCAGAUUGAAUUCCCCCCUCCCCCUCUUUUCCUCCAAGAUAUGGUCUCUCUCCUGAGCCCUUGCUGUCCUGGAACUUACUGAGUUGCCUCUGCCUUCCUAGUGCUGGGAUUAAAGGCCUGUGCCAAUCACCUCAUGCUACCUGGCCUCAGAACUCUAUCUAAAAGACAAAUUUGGUCAGAAUUUUGAAGUUUCUGUGGCUUUAGGUACUAUUUUUGUUUAGUUUAUCUAUCUUAGUCUUUCUUUCUUUGUUUCUUUCUUUCUUUCUUCCUUCCUUUCUUUCUAUUUAUUUAUUUUUUGAGACAGAGUCUCAUUGUGUAUCCCAGGCUGGCCUGGAAUCCACUAUGAAACUCUUGCUGACCUUGAAAUUGUGGCAAUUCUCCUGCCUCAACCUCUCAAUGGCUGGUAUUACAUCUCUGAGAUAAAUUCUCUAGCCCAGUUGACAGUUGCCCUCCUGAGGCAGCUCUGGAGUUUCACCAGC
rnacentral:lncRNA from 1 species